GCUGUCCGUUAUUAUGGUGUUUAUUAUGGUUUAGUUAUUUUAAUUUUAUUUUUUGAUGUUAAAAAUACACGAUGGAUACUUAAAUAUUGAUGUUUACCUUUUUUAUUUUGAUAUUUUAUGGUGUAGAUUAACCUAAGUUAAUAUAACAAUCAAAACAGUAGGGCAUGGAAUGGCAGAUCAACAUUGUUAAUUUUCGGAUAAACUUUCUGGAUUUUGCCAAGUGAAGAACUCCAAUGAUAUACAUGUAGGGGCAUGUGUCCAAAGCUGAUCCACAUCAUAACAUUCUGAUUGGGAAUAAUGACAUAGUACCAAAAGAUGUGCUUAUAUUGUAAUUAGCAGAUCUUCACAAAUGAACCUGGCAGAUCCUGGUGCAACCUUACCUUACCAUGUUUACAUCUAACCGUCAGUUUGAGCUGUGUGUGGGUGGUAACACGGACUAUAUACAUGUAUUGCCCAGUAAUUGUCUUGUGAUGGACCUUUUUAACAUAUCAAGUAUUUAAUUGAAGACUUAACAGAUCAGCAAAGGCAAUGGCAUUAACUCCACAAUCAACAUUAUUGUUUUGUUUCAUCACGGUCGGAAUUGUGAUAUCUAUGUAUUCUUUGUCUUUACCAUAUAAUACUGAAAGUUGUAUUUGAAGGCCAUGUGGUAUUAAUCUGUCUCUAGAACGAUCGUUACCUAAGCUGUCCAAUAGAAAUAUUUGAUUAUCAUGCAAAAUCGACACGACCCAAUGGUAAUUAUGGGUGUAAUGAAUUUGGCAAGCAGGCUGUGUUACUGGUUCCAUUAAUUCUUCCACAUUCCAGUGACUCUUAUCUUCGGACAACAUAGGUACGGAUUCAGAUAACUGAAGCCCAUUUAUAACACCCUUUACCUUGCGUCUCAAUAAGAUAUGAGCGGCUUCUAUGUGACUUGAAUAUAAUUGAUCAUUUGGUAUUAAAGCGUAAUUAUUUUAGUGCAGUCAGACGCAGUAGCCGCCGAAACGUACACCUACUACGUUUGUUAAGUGAAAUGUCUGUGCGCCGUUAUUUUGCUAGAUUUCGUAUAACGUCUUCCUUAUGAACUGCAUAAUGUUACAACUUUGAUAAAAACACUCAAUUCACCAUUAUUGUUGAGUUAAUCAUAACGCUAAAACGGACUAACUAAUGUACAUGGAGAAAGUAAAUAAAAAACAUUUUCUGGAGCAAGAAGUUGAAAAACAAAACAUUACACAUCAAUUUUGACUUCCAUUGCAACCAAAUUUAGGUUCGAUGAUGACAGCCAGAUAUUGCUCUCUAUUAAUUGAAUGUUUGAAAAAUUCGUUAGACCAGUAUCAUGCGAAAAUGGAUCUUAUUUAAUUGUGGUUCCCUCAUUGAACUUAUGUUGUCUGUCGACUUUUAGAAUAAUGUGUAAGAAAUAAAUGUAUUGCUUCAGAUUCACGAGCUUUUUUUUAAGAAAUGAAAUAUGCAAAUGUAUGUUAUAUAUAUUUUUUCUGUUUCUUAAACGUAUCUUAUUUAUUUUGGACUACGUGCUUAUUUUUUUUAAGAAAUGAGAGAUUCAAAUGUGUCUUAUUUAUCUUUUAUCCAUGUCUUAAAUGUGUUUUAUUUAUAUAAGACUACAUUCUAUACUGCCAGUGUCAUGCGAAAAUGGAUCUUAUUUCUUAAUAUCCACCUUCACACUUUAUUCUUUAUUAGCGCCGUCUUUCAUUAGGCUAUCACUAUUUAAAGAACAGAUUACUGUGAAAUUAAUUAAAAUGUGCAACGGUGAUAUUGAUCCAUUCACGUUGUUAAUUUAAAAUGUACACAACAGUUUAGCAAUAAAUGAAAUCAGUUAU